AACGAACGCUGGCGGCAUGCCUAACACAUGCAAGUCGAACGAUGCCUUCGGGCAUAGUGGCGCACGGGUGCGUAACGCGUGGGAAUCUGCCUUUCGGUUCGGAAUAACUCAGGGAAACUUGAGCUAAUACCGGAUAACGUCGCAAGACCAAAGAUUUAUCACCGAAAGAUGAGCCCGCGUAGGAUUAGCUAGUUGGUGAGGUAAAGGCUCACCAAGGCGAUGAUCCUUAGCUGGUCUGAGAGGAUGAUCAGCCACACUGGGACUGAGACACGGCCCAGACUCCUACGGGAGGCAGCAGUGGGGAAUAUUGGACAAUGGGCGAAAGCCUGAUCCAGCAAUGCCGCGUGAGUGAUGAAGGCCUUAGGGUUGUAAAGCUCUUUUACCCGGGAAGAUAAUGACGGCACCGGGAGAAUAAGCCCCGGCUAACUCCGUG
rnacentral:rRNA from 1 species